AAAAUUUUGAAAUGUUCAAAUUUUCUGGCACGCAUAAAUUUCACGCCACUUGCGUGAAGUAGUCGUGAACAUUGUGCAACCUAUUCACAAACACUGUGUGCCACUGUGCGCAGGAGAACAAUUUUACACAUUUUGC